AGACUACGAGUUUGAUAGGUCGGAGGUGUAAGUGCGGUAACGCAUUUAGCUGACCGAUACUAAUUGACCGAGGGCUUGAACUA
rnacentral:rRNA from 1 species